AGCAACGUCGACAGAAUGAGGGGCGAUCACGGCGUUGAUGAUGGCUUCGGUCUUGGUGCGAGCGCUCGAGAAGUUCCGAGCCGUCGCCGAGUCCGGGAACGCCUUCUUUAACAAGGCGGAAGUGCAGUCCGAGGACCUGUAGCUGUUGUGGUGUUUGCUCGUAUGGAAAGCAAAGACUCCUUCCGCAGCGGUGACGUCAUCGUCCGGCUUAUUGGCCAAAGAGUCAUCUUCUUGUUUGAUCCACUCCACCCUCGCUCCGUUUUUGGCAGCGUUUUGGUGUUUGGUGGAACUCACGUGCGCUUCCAAAUCACCCGCGCCUUUAUUUGACACGGUCACGAACGUGCCGGGUUUACACUUCAUGCACUCUGCUUCCCACUCAUCCCGACCAGGACGAAAACAAGGGAACUUCCGUUCUAGUUUAUCCGUAAACUUACAUUUACGUUUCGGCAUUUUGAAGUUUUAAAGCCGGACACUAUUAGCAUCUGGGUGGAAAAACAACAACAAGGAGGUGGUGGCCGGAUUUCCGUAAUCCAACUGCGCAUGCGUACCUUACCGGAAGAAACAUUGACGGUUUUGUCCUGGGCUUCCCCCGAGGGCCCGAUGUCCCUACGUCUUUGUGAAUCACGCAUGUUGAACACCAUAAGUCAACGUUCACUAGCGACUGCCGUUGGAAGGUACAUGGAAGCUAGAGCGCUACCGAUGUUUGCAUCUCCUCUGGGCCAUCCAGCAGCCAGCCGUUGCCCCCCAGCCAGCGAGGUUUGGGCUGGACCAGCCAGUCGAGGACUGCUCACGUCGGACACGACAAAGAAAUAUCAAUGAGCUUUGCUCAAAGGCAACAGCGGACGCUUGGAACGGGUCGGCGCCACAAACCGGGUGGAGGCUGAACGGACUCCAGGCAGGCGUAGAUGCAGCCGUUGUAGCAGCAGCGUUUGUGGCGCUCGCACUCGGAGUCCGAGCGACAGCCCGGAACCUCGCAGGCCCUCUCUGGCAACAUCUGGGGUGGGGGGGGGCAGCGGUCGUUCUUCUGGUGCUGUGUGGACUGUGCCUGGUUGGGGUACUCGUAGUCCUGGGAGACACAAAACCACAUCAUGGGAGCUUUUCCUGUGGAAUUCCUGGCAGAUGGACAUCGUGUGUCCAUCCAUCCACCCGUCCGUCUUCCACGUAUCCCAGGUCAGGGUGAAAGGGGCGAAGUGGAGAAUCCCAGACGUCCUUCAACGAAUCUACUUUGUUAGCAGGAAUUAGUAGCCUAAGAUCCAAACUCACCGGAUGUGAAAGUCCAAAUAAAAGAAGACUUUUCACACCAACUGACAUCAAAUAACAAAAAAGGUGAGAAUUAAGUAGAAAUUCUGUGUUUUCGCCACUUGAGGGCAGCAAAGUACGUGAGCGAUGGAGGAGGUCUCGGCCUUUAUGACACAACGCAGCCCCGAGGAGGAGGAGAAACAUCUCACCUCAAAACUUGGCCCGGGCGGCUCGGACAGACAUGAAUAGUGAAGAGUCCUGCAGCCAGGAAUGCGACGCUGCAGCGGACAUCUGCUCUAGCGUGCUAACUCGAUGGAAUGUGCAUCACGGCCUUUUGUCUGUGGGCUGACGUUCUUCAGAAGUUAACACUUUGAUGCUAGCAUUCCAUAUUUGGGUUACAUCAUACGUGAGGAUCCGUCCUUGCUUUGGAAGAACCUCCUUCCCUCAUUUCAUUCCCUCACAGGACCCACUUUUGGUUUGAUAUAACGUUUCUUUUCCUAGCCAAUCAAAGACAAUGUACACAACGUGAGAGUACGGCGAAUACACUCGCUCACCGAAGCGGGAACGUGCAGAGACCACGACCGAGGUUGUAGAGGACAUAAUGUGUAAGGAUUAGUUUCACGGAGUUCAUUCACUACUACAGUACUAUAGUACUACAGUACUACAGUACUACAGUACUCCAGUACUUGAACUCCCCACAGGCCCAGUGAGCUACAAUUGGGUAAUGACAUAAUGACGACUGUCUAUCUCGUAUCCCAUCUCUUCCCAACGGCCUGGCAAACAUCUCCAAGGAAUAUUCACACUUUCCUUCCUGUUCAUGUUUUUAGUGUGGAACCGUGGCUUUAAGACUCUUCAUGUUUGGCCUUCACCUUUGGACCAAACUCUUAUGGUCCAUCCUAUCCUGUCCUUAUCCUAUCCUA